rnacentral:sRNA from 1 species
GCGCAGCCCGACUUGAACGGAAAUCCUUUUUUGCGUGAACUUCGAGUUCUAUUGAUAAGGAAAUCGUUGGCAAAAAAGAUUGGGAGUGGAAGGCGGAUAAAGC